rnacentral:sRNA from 1 species
GCUGGGCAUGGUGGCUCAUGCCUGUAAUCCCAGAGGCUGGGGAGGCUGAGGCAGGAGGAUUGCAAGUUCAAAGCCAGCCUCAGCAAAAGCAAGGUGCUAAGCAACUCAGUGAGACCUUGUCUCUA